GGCUCAGGACGAACGCUGGCGGCGUGCUUAACACAUGCGAGUCGAGCGAGACCCACCUUUCGGGGUGGUGUUCUAGCGGCGAACGGGUGAGUAACACGUGGGCAACCUGCCCUCAGCUCUGGGAUAACUCCAAGAAAUUGGGGCUAAUACCGGAUAUGACCGCUGACCGCAUGGUCUGGUGGUGGAAAGAUUUAUCGGCUGGGGAUGGGCCCGCGGCCUAUCAGCUUGUUGGUGGGGUAGUGGCCUACCAAGGCGACGACGGGUAGCCGGCCUGAGAGGGUGACCGGCCACACUGGGACUGAGACACGGCCCAGACUCCUACGGGAGGCAGCAGUGGGGAAUAUUGCGCAAUGGGCGGAAGCCUGACGCAGCGACGCCGCGUGGGGGAUGACGGCCUUCGGGUUGUAAACCUCUUUCAGCAGGGACGAAGCGAAAGUGACGGUACCUGCAGAAGAAGCACCGGCCAACUACGUGCCAGCAGCCGCGGUAAUACGUAGGGUGCAAGCGUUGUCCGGAAUUAUUGGGCGUAAAGAGCUCGUAGGCGGUUUGUUGCGUCGGCUGUGAAAUCCCGAGGCUCAACCUCGGGUCUGCAGUCGAUACGAGCAAACUAGAGUGUUGCAGGGGAGACUGGAAUUCCUGGUGUAGCGGUGAAAUGCGCAGAUAUCAGGAGGAACACCGGUGGCGAAGGCGGGUCUCUGGGCAACAACUGACGCUGAGGAGCGAAAGCGUGGGGAGCGAACAGGAUUAGAUACCCUGGUAGUCCACGCCGUAAACGUUGGGCGCUAGGUGUGGGGCUCAUUCCACGAGUUCCGUGCCGCAGCUAACGCAUUAAGCGCCCCGCCUGGGGAGUACGGCCGCAAGGCUAAAACUCAAAG
rnacentral:rRNA from 1 species